ACGGGCCAUCAUGGGUCCAGGGAGGCCCUCUGUGGUGUGGUUGUUGUUAAUGCUAAUGGUACCCGCAAGCUCUCCUUUGGAAUGAGAGCGGGGGCCUUGAUGAUUCUCAGUGUCCACCUGGCUGCUCUCCAGCCUCCUGCUCCCAGGGCCCUGCUGCCCAUGUCCUGGCUCUCCAUCCCCUGCCUCUGGAUGGAACUCAGGACCUUGCACUUGUGAGGCAGGCGUGGUGCCGCUGAGCCAAAUCCCAGGCCCCUUUUAUUACUCGUUUUGAGACAAGGUCUUACUAUAUCACUGAGUUGCCCAGGCUAGGCUUGAAUUUGCGAUCCUCCUGCCUCAGCCUAGCAGAGUGCUGGGAUUGCAGACAUGAACCACCACGUCUAGCAAUUCAGCUGCUUUUGCAGGGGAUCGAACUAGGGACCUUGUGCCUGAGAGGCAGGCAGCAGCACUGCUGAGCUAAAUUCCCGGC
rnacentral:lncRNA from 1 species